rnacentral:misc_RNA from 1 species
UUGCAAAAGAAGUAGGUAGCUUAACCGCAAGGAGGGCGCUUACCACUUUGUGAUUCAUGACUGGGGUGAAGUCGUAACAAGGUAACCGUAGGGGAACCUGCGGUUGGAUCACCUCCUUAACUAUAAUCUCUCACUAUCNGUGUCCACUCNCUUUAUCUUAUAAAUUAUGAAAAAAGAC